CUCCCUGUGGCUCAGUUGGUAGAGCAUGGUGUUUGCAACGCCAGCAUGGUGUGUGCAACGCCAGGGUUGUGGGUUCGAUUCCCACGGGGGGU
rnacentral:tRNA from 1 species